rnacentral:rRNA from 1 species
GACGAACGCUGGCGGCGUGCUUAACACAUGCAAGUCGAACGGAAAGGCCCUGCUUUUGUGGGGUGCUCGAGUGGCGAACGGGUGAGUAACACGUGAGUAACCUGCCCUUGACUUUGGGAUAACUUCAGGAAACUGGGGCUAAUACCGGAUAGGAGCUCCUGCUGCUUGGUGGGGGUUGGAAAGUUUCGGCGGUUGGGGAUGGACUCGCGGCUUAUCAGCUUGUUGGUGGGGUAGUGGCUUACCAAGGCUUUGACGGGUAGCCGGCCUGAGAGGGUGACCGGCCACAUUGGGACUGAGAUACGGCCCAGACUCCUACGGGAGGCAGCAGUGGGGAAUAUUGCACAAUGGGCGGAAGCCUGAUGCAGCAACGCCGCGUGCGGGAUGACGGCCUUCGGGUUGUAAACCGCUUUCGCCUGUGACGAAGCGUGAGUGACGGUAACGGGUAAAGAAGCACCGGCUAACUACGUG